AACACCUGUUUCUCUGAAUUUCUACAAGCUAAAUUAGUACAUGCUUAUUCUCUGAACGUUGGCCUGUAUUGGAUUCUUGUACGGUAUGAUUUGCCCAAUCAGCACACCCAUGGACAGGGCAAGAAAAACAAUUAGAAAGCAUGAAAGAUUCCAAUCAAUACUUUCUGUUGGAUAUAUCAAUUGUUUUAGCUCUUCCUACACCCAACCGGAACAUUCUAAAUUCUAAAGGUUUCAGCUGGAAUUCCCGUUCCGUUCAUACAUUCCAAUUUGGCGUUUUAGUUCAAAAUUAGAAGCUGGAGUCUGUGUAUAGUUAUUCUCAUGUCCAUCAUAUGAACUAUGUGUGUGUACUCAUGUUGAAUUGAUGUAUGAUACUGAGUCUUUGCAUUUUCAAUCGCCUUUCACUUUCUUCAUGAUUUGGUGGAUGUGCAUUUUCACAUAAUUUUUAACAAACCAAUUCAUAUUUUCGUCGAGCUUAAAUCAUUUUGUUCUUUUAUAAUGGUUGGAGAUGUGGUUUAGGAGGAUCAGCAGCUAAUGGCAAACGUGCUAGCAAGCCCCGAGUGCGGUGGCCCGUGCAACAUGAAGAAGACCAUCCGGACAAAGGGCAGGUACACAAAUAGCUAAGAACACAAGGAGACGUGCAGGUACCUUAAUUUUGUAAGCAAGAUCUCAAGAAAGUAUAUAGGGAGGAGAUUGACAAGGAAUUCUUGUUGUAAAGAGCGAAGGCAUGGUUUGGUUUGCAUGACAUUAUAUCUUCAAUUGGCUGGAGAUAUAUAAAUGUUGUACUUGAUUUUCUCACCUGGCAUCUUAUCUCUUCUGUGAAAU